GACGAACGCUGGCGGCGUGCUUAACACAUGCAAGUCGAACGGAAAGGCCCUGCUUUCGUGCUGUGCUCGAGUGGCGAACGGGUGAGGAAGACGUGAGUAACCUGCCCUUGACUUUGGGAUAACUUCAGGAAACUGGGGCUAAUAUCGGACAGGAUCUCCUGUUGCAUGGUGGGGGUUGGAUAGUUUCGGCGGUCGGGGAUGGAUUCGCGGCUUACGAGCUUGUUGGUGGGGUAGUGGCUUACCGAGGCUGUGACGGGUAGCCGGCCUGAGAGGGUGACCGGCCACAUGGGGACUGAGGGAGGGCCCAGUGUGCAACGGGAGGCAGCAGUCGGGAGUAUUGCACAAUGAGACGAAGCCUGUUACGACGACGCUGGGUGCGGAAUGACGGCCUUCGGGUAGUGAACAGCUUUAGCCUGAGACGAAGCGUGAGUGACGGUAAUGAGUAAAGAAGCACCGGCUAACUACGUG
rnacentral:rRNA from 1 species